AAUAGGUUGCAACAGUGCGAACUGGAGCUAAUCCCCAAAGCUGUCCUCAGUUCGGAUUGCAGGCUGAAACCCGCCUGCAUGAA
rnacentral:rRNA from 1 species